rfam:Charadrius vociferus contig51159, whole genome shotgun sequence.
AAAAAGGCUGUAUUUACAGCUAUAAAAAUAGUGCUGGCAUUAUUAU